rnacentral:misc_RNA from 1 species
GAUAAGAACGCAGUGAAAUGCGAUAAGUAAUGCGAAUUGCAGAAUUCAGUGAGUCAUCGAAUCUUUGAACGCACAUUGCGCCCUGUGGUAUUCCGCAGGGCAUGCCUGUUCGAGCGUCAUUUCAACCCUCAAGCCUCGCUUGGUGUUGGGCCCUGCCCGCCGCGGCCGGCCCUAAAGAUAGUGGCGGCGCCGCCUGGCCCUCAGCGUAGUACAGCUCUCGCUCCAGGGUCCGGCGGCAGCCUGCCAGAACCCCCCAACUCUGUGGUUGACCUCGGAUCAGGUAGGGAUACCCGCUGAACUUAAGCAUAUCAAUAAGCGGAGGA